rnacentral:rRNA from 1 species
AAAUUGAAGAGUUUGAUCAUGGCUCAGAUUGAACGCUGGCGGCAGGCCUAACACAUGCAAGUCGAGCGGUAGCACAGAGAGCUUGCUCUCGGGUGACGAGCGGCGGACGGGUGAGUAAUGUCUGGGAAACUGCCUGAUGGAGGGGGAUAACUACUGGAAACGGUAGCUAAUACCGCAUAAUGUCGCAAGACCAAAGUGGGGGACCUUCGGGCCUCAUGCCAUCAGAUGUGCCCAGAUGGGAUUAGCUAGUAGGUGGGGUAACGGCUCACCUAGGC